rnacentral:rRNA from 1 species
AUACGUAGGGUGCAAGCGUUAAUCGGAAUUACUGGGCGUAAAGCGUGCGCAGGCGGUUUUGUAAGACAGUGGUGAAAUCCCCGGGCUCAACCUGGGAACUGCCAUUGUGACUGCAAGGCUGGAGGGCGGCAGAGGGGGAUGGAAUUCCCCGGGCAGCAGGGGAAUGCGUAGAUAUGCGGAGGAACACCGAUGGCGAAGGCAAUCCCCUGGGCCUGCACUGACGCUCAUGCACGAAAGCGUGGGGAGCAAACAGGAUUAGAUACCCUGGUAGUCCACGCCCUAAACGAUGUCAACUGGUUGUUGGGGAUUUAUUUUCUCAGUAACGAAGCUAACGCGUGAAGUUGACCGCCUGGGGAGUACGGCCGCAAGGUUAAAACUCAAAGGAAUUGACGGGG